GACGAGCAUCACAAACGUUAUUCGGAAUUACUGGGCUUAAAGGGUGCGUAGGCGGUGCAGAAAGUCGGGAGUGAAAUCCCACAGCUCAACUGUGGAAUUGCUUUCGAUACUGCUGUGCUUGAGUGAGAUAGAGGUAAGCGGAACUUAGGGUGGAGCGGUGAAAUGCGUUGAUAUCCUAAGGAACACCGGUGGCGAAGGCGGCUUACUGGGUCUCUACUGACGCUGAUGCACGAAAGCCAGGGUAGCGAACGGG
rnacentral:rRNA from 1 species